AUUGAACGCUGGCGGCAUGCCUAACACAUGCAAGUCGAACGAGUGGCGGACGGGUGAGUCAUGUCUGGGACACUGCCUGAUGGAGGGGGAAAACUCCUGGAAACGGUAGUUAAUACCGCUUACCUUCAGCUGAUCCCAGGUGGGAUUCGCUAGUUGGUGGGGUAACGGCUUACCAAGGCCACGAUCCCUAGCUGGUCUGAGAGGAGGACCGGCCACACUGGAACUGAGACACGGUCCAGACUCCUACGGGAGGCAGCAGUGGGGAAUAUUGCGCAAUGGGCGCAAGCCUGAUGCAGCCAUGCCGCGUGUAUGAAGAAGGCCUUCGGGUUGUAAAGUACUUUCAGCAGGGAGGCGUUACCCACACAGAAAGCACCGGCUAACUCCGUGCCAGCAGCCGCGGUAAUAC
rnacentral:rRNA from 1 species